UGCGUAGGCGGAUUAAUAAGUCAGUGGUGAAAUCUCUCGGCUCAACCGGGAAACUGCCAUUGAUACUGUUAAUCUUGAGUUCGGUUGAGGUAGGCGGAAUGUGUAAUGUAGCGGUGAAAUGCUUAGAUAUUACACAGAACACCAAUUGCCUAGGAAGCUUACUAGACCGACACUAACGCUGAGGCACGAAAGCGUGGGUAGCGAACAGGAUUAGAUACCCUGGUAGUCC
rnacentral:rRNA from 1 species